GACAUGUCAUGGCUAUUUGAUAGGUUUCUAAGUGUUGAAGAUGAAGACUUGGUGAGUCCUCAUAGAUUCGAGGACAAUACCCAAUAUGUUCUUUUAUGUCUUUUUAGUAUUGUUUAAGUUGUGUACGGGAUUAGUCUCGAAUUUUGUACUCUAAAUAUUAGAUGGUUUGAGACAUCAUGUAUAAAGUCUAGAAAGUCUUCUGCUUGCUAUUUUUUUUAUGCAAUGUUUUCUUGGUAAAGAA
rnacentral:lncRNA from 1 species